rnacentral:rRNA from 1 species
CAGCAGCCACGGGAAUACGGAGGGGGCUAGCGUUGUUCGGAAUUACUGGGCGUAAAGCGCACGUAGGCGGCUUUGUAAGUUAGAGGUGAAAGCCCGGAGCUCAACUCCGGAAUUGCCUUUAAGACUGCAGAGCUAGCAGGUGAGAGAGGUGAGUGGAAUUCCGAGUGUAGAGGUGAAAUUCGUAGAUAUUCGGAAGAACACCAGUGGCGAAGGCGGCUCACUGGCUCAUACUGGACGCUGAGGUGCGAAAGCGUGGGGAGCAAACAGGAUUAGAUACCCGCGUAGUCCCUGUCUCUUAUAC